UACAGAGGUCUCAAGCGUUGUUCGGAUUCAUUGGGCGUAAAGGGUGCGUAGGUGGCGCGGUAAGUCGGGUGUGAAAUCUCGGAGCUUAACUCCGAAAUUGCAUUCGAUACUGCCGUGCUUGAGGACUGGAGAGGAGACUGGAAUUCAUGGUGUAGCAGUGAAAUGCGUAGAGAUCAUGAGGAAGACCAGUGGCGAAGGCGGGUCUCUGGACAGUUCCUGACGCUGAGGCGCGAAGGCCAGGGGAGCAAACGGG
rnacentral:rRNA from 1 species